AAAAACCUUGGACCUGUCCUCUAGCGGUUGAGGAAAAAGAGGUUAAAUUUUACACAUGUGAAUACAAUAAUACUAAAUAACAGUUCUAAAUGUUAGUAGCAUCACCUCUAUCUAUUGGUAAUGUUUCUAAUCCUCAAAAUUCACAAGGUGGAGCCUCUGUUUUAAUUGGUUUUUGUCCAGUUUCUGCUUGCCUUCAAAGGUAAUGUAUGCGUACCCAGUUUCUGUUUCCAUUUUGUAGAACAUAGGAAGGUACAAAGUACCAGCUCACAGGUCUCGCUUAUGCUGAGCUUAUCAUGGAGAAACUGAAACCCAUCUCAAAUGCGUGACUCUUGAAACUAUUUUGUGGUAGACCCCAAGACUCGAGCGUCAGCUGAUGCUGGAUGCAUUCCUGUGCUGGUUAUGAAGUACGCAUGAGCUCCUGGACAUGACAUGAAUAUCAGAAACAACAUCGGCAUUCUAUCAUCAAAUUUGUCGCCAAUACGAGUGAGCGAGCUUCGGAGGUUACCAUUUUUCUGUUUGUGACAUGUUAUUGUUAGAGAGCUUCUGUUCUUCGAUCUAGAUUUUCAGAUUCCCAAUUGCACUUGUUAACGUGACAUGCACAACAAAAAUGACAAGAUUUAAGAUGAAGAGUUGCGUUCAUUUUAUUUAAUUAUUUAAUUAUAACUGCUUCAUAAUAUUUUCGCA